CCGCCCCUCGGCGCGGGCCCAGGGCGGGGCUGGGCGGGGCGGCGCGAGCGCAGGCGCCGACCUCGGCCCGGGGCGAACCGUUCCUGCCGCCGAGUCCGCCACGGACGGCGCCUUAAGUGUCUUCCCGCCUGAGGCGGUUACGGAAACGGAGAGACUCGAGACUGAAGCCAGCUUAUUCUAGACCCAAACAGGCGACUGAAGACGAUGGGACCCACUGCCCUGGAUUCGAUCGGGCCCGGGACACCCAGACAGAUGAGAUUGUCGCGCUGAAGAAGGUACGGAUGGACAAAGAGAAGGAUGGCAUCCCCAUCAGCAGCCUGCGGGAGAUCACACUGCUGCUCCGCCUGCGUCACCCCAACAUCGUGGAGCUGAAGGAGGUGGUUGUGGGGAACCACCUGGAGAGCAUCUUCCUGGUGAUGGGUUACUGUGAGCAGGACCUGGCCAGCCUCCUGGAGAAUAUGCCAACACCCUUCUCGGAGGCCCAAGUCAAGUGCAUCGUGCUGCAGGUGCUCCGGGGCCUCCAGUAUCUGCACAGGAACUUCAUCAUCCACAGGGACCUGAAGGUUUCCAACUUGCUCAUGACUGACAAGGGCUGUGUGAAGACAGCGGAUUUCGGCUUGGCCCGGGCCUAUGGCGUCCCAGUAAAGCCAAUGACCCCCAAGGUGGUCACUCUCUGGUACCGAGCCCCCGAACUGCUGUUGGGAACCACCACGCAGACCACCAGCAUCGACAUGUGGGCCGUGGGUUGCAUCCUGGCCGAGCUGCUGGCGCACAAGCCCCUUCUCCCUGGCACGUCUGAGAUCCACCAGAUCGACUUGAUCGUGCAGCUGCUGGGGACGCCCAGUGAGAACAUCUGGCCGGGCUUUUCCAAGCUGCCGCUGGUCGGCCAGUACAGUCUCCGGAAGCAGCCCUACAACAACCUGAAGCACAAGUUCCCGUGGCUCUCGGAGGCCGGUCUGCGCCUGCUGCACUUCCUGUUCAUGUACGACCCGAAGAAAAGGUGCUGUCUCUGCCCGGGGGGCAGGGCCCCCACCACCCGCACUGUCGAGACCGUUUCCCAGAGCCCAGCCUCACUGCGGCGGAGAGGCCGCUCCCCAGGCACAGCCGCUCAGCGGUUUCUGGCCACCAGGCUUCCUUUGAGAACUUCAAUCACAGCUGCUCAGCUGGGUGGGAGACGAGGAAGCCGGACUCACGAGUCGCACUAAUGCAGGCUGCCUCCUCCAGGGCGACGGCCGGGGACUGCCUGGAGAGCUCCUACUUCAAGGAGAAGCCCCUACCCUGUGAGCCGGAGCUCAUGCCCACCUUCCCCCACCACCGCAACAAGCGGGCCGCCCCGGCCACCUCUGAAGGCCAGAGCAAGCGCUGUAAACCCUGACGGUGGGCCUGGCAUACGCCUGUAUUCCCACACCAUGUCUUUCGGGCGGCGGUGUCCCUGAAGGGUGCUAGGAGCUGACGAGGUGCCUGGGACCCAGCUCAUCCCCUUGACUGACUUCCUCCCACUGUCUGCCCUGAACCCACUACUGCUCCCAAAAACAGGCAGGGCAUGAAUGCAGGGUGACACGGGGGCACCCGUGGAAGGGCGGGUCUGGCGGCCCCAUCCGUGGCCGCAGGGGUCCUGCUGUGUUGGAAACAUGGGACCACUGAGGGGUCUCGUGCGGCUCUCCUCCUCGCUGUACUGGAAGCACGGGACCACUGCUUCCUGGGAGGAGUGGCGGCUGCAGUCCCCCCACUAUCUUCGAGUUGUGGUGGACGCUGGCCUGGGAUCAGCGGGCCCAGAAGACCUUUGUAUCCCCCCUCAGUUGCCUGGGGUGCCCUGUGCAUGGGUCGGCUGUGGUGACCCCAGGUGGGCCUGGCAGGACUCCAGAUGAGGACAAGAGGGACAAGGUGUGGGGUGGGAGCCACAAUUGAGGAUGCCCCAAGACCACCGAGAGCCCUGGGCUGGGGGCUGAGCUAUAUCCCUGCUCCCCACGGGGGCCCCAACAGGGGGUCAUGGCUCAGAUGCUGAGCAAAACUGUAGGCUCUUGUUGGAUAAAAGCUUUCUUAACAGA